rnacentral:rRNA from 1 species
GAUGAACGCUGGCGGCGUGCUUAACACAUGCAAGUCGAACGGAGCACCCUUGAAGGAGUUUUCGGACAACAGAGAGGACUGCUUAGUGGCGGACGGGUGAGUAACGCGUGAGGAACCUGCCUUGGAGCGUGGAAUAACACAUGGAAACGUGUGCUAAUACCGCAUAACAUAGUUGAACCGCAUGGUUCGACUAUCAAAGAUUUAUCGCUCUGAGAUGGCCUCGCGUCUGAUUAGCUAGUUGGUAGGGUAACGGCCUACCAAGGCGACGAUCAGUAGCCGGACUGAGAGGUUGACCGGCCACAUUGGGACUGAGACACGGCCCAGACUCCUACGGGAGGCAGCAGUGGGGAAUAUUGGGCAAUGGGCGCAAGCCUGACCCAGCAACGCCGCGUGAAGGAAGAAGGUUUUCGGAUUGUAAACUUCUUUUAUGAGGGACGAAACAAAUGACGGUACCUCAUGAAUAAGCCACGGCUAACUACGUGCCAGCCGCCGCCGUAACAC